AGAUAUUCAUGUCCAAGUGAAUGCAGCUGUACGAACUUCAGCUUGAAAACUUCUCUCAAAUAGCAGGUGGGGAGAACAGGUAGUAAAUGCCUGGGGUUGUGGCCGCUUCCUUCCCCAGCAGAGCUCUGCCCCAAUGAGAACACAGGAAGGGUAGAUAAGAGAGCAAAGUGGGCAGUUUUUCUUAUUUAUUUGUUUGGGUAAAGGAAAAACAAAACAAGAUGUGAACACGCAUAUCUUCACAAACUGUAAAAUUUAUCUCUGUCCUCUAUUCCCUGCAUCCUUCUCCCUACUCUAACAUCUUAACAAUCCUAAUAUUUGCCUAUUGUUACACAAAAUGUACGCCAGUAGAUAUCAACAUACCAAUUAAAAAAAAACGAAAAAAAUACUUUGCUGUUUUUCCUUGAAAGCACAAUGACAUGAGGCAUCUUUGGAGAGAAGAAGCUGCCACAAUCCGAUGCCUCCUCGUACCUGCUACUAGCUGUGUAGGCUUGUCUGAUCUAGCCCCCUGGAUGUGAACAAACUAGAGCAACAGGGAGAAGCAGAGAUGCAAAAGAGUUAAUCAUACAAAUUGCUGAGUGUGCACAGGAAAAACAUACUACAUUUGUAAUUGUGUUUACAGUGUACAAAGCACUCUCCCAUAUUCCUCAUAAUCUAACAACAAUCCUGAAAUCAUCACUAUUUACGAUGCAGAAACUGAAGGAACAAUAAAUGGCAUGUCCUAUGCCAUACAGCUAAUACCAGGCAGAUCUUGGCAUUGAACUAGAGCUGUCUGAGCCUAGACCAAAUAUUGUUUCCAGGAUUCUGCAGCAAACUCUACCAACUAGGUACCUACAGCCUCCCCUAACCUGCCUUCGGUCUCCUGAGCAGAAGUGUUUAUACCUCAGUCCCAGCAUGCAAUAACCGUAACAGGUAAUAAGCACCUUGGAGAAACACCAACUGCAUCCAAAAGAGAGCCUGGUUCUGAUAAUUCUGUUUCACUAACUUCUAGAAGACAGAGAAUGAACAGCUUAGGUGAACAUUUAGAUGAAAUUAGAAAAAAAAAUGUUAAGGGAGUUGAGUAUUUGUUAAAGGUCCUUGAACAUGCAAUUCUAAAAGAAAAGGAAGCUCAGAGAAAGACACUGGGAUCUUCCAGAACUGGGAAGAGCCUAGGACCUGAGAUACAAAGAUCUAGAACCAGGGAAAGCAGAAAACUUCACCUACAAAGUUCCAUGUGCUGCACUGGGCCCUCAGCCCACACACAUGCCUAAUUCUACAUCUUGGCUCUCCAGUCUUCUUCACAGACAGCGCUUGGUGCCUGGGGCCUUUCCAAGAAGAAAGGUGUUAUAGUGUAAGGCUCUGGUGCCAGUCAUGUUGGACUGGCCUUGCUAACACAAGACUGUUGUAGAGAAGAAGAGGAGGUCUGGUGUGCCCCAGGGACCACCCCUUGGCAUAGGCCACUGUAGACGCAGCAUGAACAUGCUGGGGUCAGCAGGGCAGCCAGGGCUCUAUUA
rnacentral:lncRNA from 10 species